rnacentral:rRNA from 1 species
AGCAGCCGCGGUAAUUCCAGCUCCAAUAGCGUAUAUUAAAGUUGUUGCAGUUAAAAAGCUCGUAGUUGAAUUUCGGGGUCAGUAGGUUGGUCGUGCCACUGGUAUGUACUGAUCACACUGAUUCCUCCUUCCUGAUGAGCUGUAAUGCCAUUAAUUUGGUGUUGCAGGGAAUCUGGACUGUUACUUUGAAAAAAUUAGAGUGUUUAAAGCAGGCUAACGCUUGAAUACAUUAGCAUGGAAUAAUGAAAUAGGACGUUCGAUCCUAUUUUGUUGGUUUCUAGGAUUGACGUAAUGAUUAAUAGGGAUAGUUGGGGGCAUUAGUAUUCAAUUGUCAGAGGUGAAAUUCUUGGAUUUAUUGAAGGCUAACUACUGCGAAAGCAUUUGCCAAGGAUGUUUUCAUUAAUCAAGAACGAAAGUUAGGGGAUCGAAGACGAUCAGAUACCGUCGUAGUCUUAACCAUAAACUAUGCCGACUAGGGAUCGGAUGAUGUUAAUUUUUUAAUGACUCA